GUCAGCGUGGCAUAGUGGUUUUAGUGUUUGACUAUGACUCUGGAGACCAGGGUUCAAUUUCCAACUGGGCCA